GAAAUUGGACUAGCCCUUAAGCUUUACACGCGUUAGACGAACGGUCUGGAAAGUCCGACGAUACAGGGUGAUAGUCCCGUAGUUGACGACGUGUGUUCAGUGAAAUCGAGUAGGGCGGGACACGUGAUAUCCUGUCUGAAUAUGGGGGGACCAUCCUCCAAGGCUAAAUACUACUGACUGACCGAUAGUGAACCAGUACCGUGAGGGAAAGGCGAAAAGAACCCCUGUGAGGGGAGUGAAAUAGAACCUGAAACCGUGUACGUACAAGCAGUAGGAGCAGGCUUUGUCCUGUGACUGCGUACCUUUUGUAUAAUGGGUCAGCGACUUAUAUUCAGUGGCAAGGUUAACCAUCUAGGGGAGCCGUAGGGAAACCGAGUCUUAACUGGGCGUUCAGUCUCUGGAUAUAGACCCGAAACCAGGUGAUCUAGCCAUGGGCAGGUUGAAGGUUGAGUAACAUCAACUGGAGGACCGAACCGACUAAUGUUGCUGGUUCUCCCCGAAAGCUAUUUAGGUAGCGCCUCGGACGAAUACUACUGGGGGUAGAGCACUGUUAAGGCUAGGGGGUCAUCCCGACUUACCAACCCUUUGCAAACUCCGAAUACCAGUAAGUACUAUCCGGGAGACACACGGCGGGUGCUAACGUCCGUCGUGGAGAGGGAAACAACCCAGACCGCCAGCUAAGGUCCCAAAUUACUACUAAGUGGGAAACGAUGUGGGAAGGCUCAGACAGCCAGGAUGUUGGCUUAGAAGCAGCCAUCAUUUAAAGAAAGCGUAAUAGCUCACUGGUCGAGUCGGCCUGCGCGGAAGAUGUAACGGGGCUAAGUAGUAAACCGAAGCUGCGGCAAUGUGCUUUUGCACAUUGGGUAGGGGAGCGUUCUGUAAGCGGUUGAAGGUGUGUGGUAACGCAUGCUGGACGUAUCAGAAGUGCGAAUGCUGACAUGAGUAACGAUAAAGGGGGUGAAAAACCUCCUCGCCGGAAGACCAAGGGUUCCUGUCCAACGUUAAUCGGGGCAGGGUAAGUCGACCCCUAAGGCGAGGCCGAAAGGCGUAGUCGAUGGGAAACGGGUUAAUAUUCCCGUACUUCUUACAAUUGCGAUGGGGGGACGGAGAAGGCUAGGUGGGCCUGGCGACGGUUGUCCAGGUUCAAGUGCGUAGGCUUGAGAGUUAGGUAAAUCCGGCUCUCUUUAAGGCUGAGACACGACGUCGAGCACCUACGGGUGUGAAGUCAUUGAUGCCAUGCUUCCAGGAAAAGCCUCUAAGCUUCAGAUUGUAAGGA
rnacentral:rRNA from 1 species